rnacentral:rRNA from 1 species
GACGAACGCUGGCGGCGUGCUUAACACAUGCAAGUCGAACGGAAAGGCCCUGCUUUUGUGGGGUGCUCGAGUGGCGAACGGGUGAGUAACACGUGAGUAACCUGCCCUUGACUUUGGGAUAACUUCAGGAAACUGGGGCUAAUACCGGAUAGGAGCUCCUGCUGCAUGGUGGGGGUUGGAAAGUUUCGGCGGUUGGGGAUGGACUCGCGGCUUAUCAGCUUGUUGGUGGGGUAGUGGCUUACCAAGGCUUUGACGGGUAGCCGGCCUGAGAGGGUGACCGGCCACAUGGGGACUGAGAUACGGACCAGACUCCUACGGGAGGCAGCAGGGGGGAAUAUGGCACAAUGGGCGGAAGCCUGAUGCAGCAACGCCGCGUGCGGGAUGACGGCCUUCGGGUUGUAAACCGCUUUCGCCUGUGACGAAGCGUGAGUGACGGUAAUGGGUAAAGAAGCACCGGCUAACUACGUG